rnacentral:lncRNA from 1 species
UCCCAACCCACUCUGGAUGUCACACACUUCUCUCUCCUCAAUACCCACUCACUCAGAGUACCAGGAUCCUUGUGUUGCAACCCUUCAUAAAAGCAUCCACUAUCAGAGGCCCCUGAUUGAGACUCAAUAGCCAGCUUGAUUCUGGCCAAAGAGAGUGGAGGCAAGCCAAGACGGCACUUACUGCAUCUGUUUCUCCAAUUGUCACCUGCUCAGAGAAUCGGACCUUCACGGGAUUGGACCUCAGCUUGGCCUUCUUUGCAGCACUGAUGAAGGCAGAUUUAGGGGACUGGAAAAAGAACAAAGGGCUGGGUCUUGCUAUGUGUGAUGACUACCAUUGGCUGAUAACUUGACUUCAUCUAGAAUGAACUAAAACACAGGUGGCUGAUUACACACCUGUGAGGUUUCUUUUCUUAAUGAAGUCUUUUGAGGUGGGAAGCUACCUCGUCUGCUGGCAGCUUA